UCUUUACUUUCAGUUUAUAAGAUCAAAGAGAAAAAUAAAGGAAGAUGUUUCACAAAUCUUAGAUAAAUCAGAUGGACUCAAGGAGAUCACAGGUGUCUAGAUUCCAGUGACAGUGGUGAAAUUGAUUACAUAAGGCAAUCUCAGACCCGAAGACUAAACGUGACAUCAGACGCAAAGAGUUUUUCUAACUCAAAACGUGAUGGGAGAAUAAAAUAUUUCUGUGGACCAAAAGCAAGCACGGUAUUCUCCAGGUGGUCAUCCACCUAGAAGGGCUGCAUCAUGCCAAUCUUUGUCCAGAGCCUGGACCAUGCCAUCUGGCUGAAAAAGUAUGUGGGGUACUUCUUCCUCUUAUGAGGUUUGCACCCUGACAUCUACUUGAUGUGUUUUGUAGCAAAUGUUGAAAGCAGGUGUGCAUACAAAGAGGACUGGCAGGAAAACAGUAGUCAUGCUGGGUUGAUCAUCUUGAUUGGUAUUUAUAGACCCAAAAAUGAAAAUGUUUUGCAAUUAUGAAGCAAAAAUGACCAUCUUCCUUUUAAGAAAAAUAUGUUAUGGAAGACUUCAAAUGAUUCCUACAUGCUUUCACAAUUCAGGUAGCCAGAGAGGCAGAAGCAAGAACCUUCUAGAGAUCACUGGAAGGCUGACUCAGUGUUUCCCAUCUUGGAAAUGUGAUCCAGAGUCGGGCCCACCCAGGGCCUGUGCACCUUCAAAACCAGAACACGGAGCAGAAACUGAACCUGUGUGGUUCAAUUCCAGUGUCAAAAUUCCCAUUAGAGCUGUUUUUCACCUCCUUUCAUUCUUACUUCUUCAAAUUACUUGUAAAAUUACUAAAAAUAUUUUAAAAGGUCCUUUGGAUCAGGUGAAAAAUGAAAAUUACUGUAUUUCUUAUAAACUGGCUAUAUAAGCAGAAAUUUCCCAAAAAAAUAUUGUGGUGGGCACUGUUUGGGGGUCAAAUAUGUUUGAGAAAUGUUGGAUAAAACAGAGACAAAGGUGUUUUUAGCUGCAGAACUUUUUGACCCUUUCAUAUGCAGGAUGUCCAAAACUGGUCCCACUGUCCCAGGGACAGGAUAUUUUGUGGGACUAGGGGACUACGCAAACUCCAAAAAAAAAAAAAUGUUCUAUGAAGUAAAACUGCUGUGUGCAUGUACUAAUUAUAGCAACAAACCCCACCAUUAUGUACAACUACAACGUAUCAUUAAAAAUGUGGAGGAAAAAAUAACUCAUAAUAAAAAUUAUAAAUCAUUUUUUUAAAGAGGGCAAACCAGAUCAUUUUAUUAGUUAAGGUUAAACUUAGGGAAGCUUUUUUCUCUCUUUCUUAAGGAAGAAUCCAUGUGAGAAACAGUGGUCCCCAAGAUAAACCCCAUAAGGGCACUGGGGCAAGAGGGAAGUCUGAGAGCCCCUCAAGGGUGAGUGCAGAGGGAGGUGCCCAGUCUCUAAUGAGAAGCCUGGAAGGGUUUUGCCAUUAGCUUUAUUUCAAAGAGGAGGAGCAAGAAGUAGCCCACCUUCCCAGGGACAGGAAUGCCAUCAGGCCCUGGUCUUAGAAGGGUAUGGCAGAGAGACUCCCCCAUGCCCUGCAGAAGGGUGGGUGGUCAUGGAAGGUAGGCAUGCAGUGGUCCUCAGCCCUCAACAAAGAGGUAUGUUCAGAAACAAAUGUGUCUGAAGCUGGGGGUGCCUUCCCACAGGGGCUGCAGGGGGUCGACCCUCACUGCAGGGUCCCCAUCUGACUUCCUUGGAUACAGCUGCAGGACAGCCCUGCACACUCCCGAGCCACACCCCAGCUCCUCAAGGACAGCUCCCUGCCAUGGCCCCUUUUCUCCCCAGGUCCCACACCAUCUCUGAGCCAUUUCUAUGCUUCCUUCCAGAGGGAAACUUCUCCCAAGAGCUUCGGAGGCAGCUAUCCCACCCUCACCUCCCAGUCAAGUAUCUGUGGCCCCUCCUCCCUGCAUAGGUGACAGCCACCCGGAGCCAGGGCAGACACUUUGUCUUGUUCACACUCGACCCUCCCUUCUGGAAAUACCUGCUCCAGGAGACUUACACGGUCCACCUGCACCUGGAUUUCUCCCGUCCCUUCCCAUGUGCUGGCCUUCACUCUAGUCCCCUGGACACUGACAUUGCCUGUUCCCUCUCCCACAUCUAUUCUCUCCUUUAGUCCCCAGACAGAUAUCGCCCUGUACAGAUGACUUUCCCAGGGGCCUCCUCCCUAAGCCGACUUCUCCCUAAAGCCCUCGACGGGUACAGUCCACCUGCCAGCUAGGUACCUCCACCUUGGUUCCAACAGGAAUCCCUCCCUUGGCACAAGCAAACCAUCAUUCUCCCUCCCAACUCAGGUCCCCAAGCAGCAGCCCCACAAAUCCUGACUAUGGUGUAGACCACAAACCCCAUCUGAGCCUUCCCACCACGUCCACCCCACAGGUAAAGUCAAGGCCUACUUCCCAGCACACCUUGAGCCCCAGGGCUUCUCAGCACCUGACCAGCACGGCCACAUCUGAGCAUUUCAUCUCAGACUGGACUACUGCAACCCCAGCCUGCUGCCCUGGCCUGGGCCAGGAGUUCACCUCUGGACCACAGCCUUGAUGAUCUACAGCACCCAUCAGAUCACACCACUCCUGUAUUCAUGGAGUGCCACAAACCCAGUGGUGCAAAAAACUGCUUGUUUCUCCCAGUUCAGGAGGCCAGAAGUCCAGAACCCAGGUUCCCUUCUCUGUAGGACUCUGUGUGCCCUUGUCUGUCUCUCCUGAGGACACUCUCCAGGGACUCAGAGCCCACCCUAAUCCAGGAUGACUUCAUCUCCAUCUUUACUUUACUACAUCUGCAAAGACCCUGUUUCCAGACAAGGGCACGUGCUGAGGUUCCCAGUGAACAUGCGUCUUGGAGGUCACCGUUCAGCUCACUGCAGCUCUCCUGGUCACCUGGGAAGGUCCCCACCAGACGGGAGGUUCAAGGACUCAAAGCUUUUCUUAAAGAGGACGCCUUGAACUGGCCCUUUAAAGCCUAUGGGAUUUGAACGAGAGGAGAUGAAAGGAAAGAGCGUGGUGUGGAGGGAAGAAAUGAGAGUGGGAGGCAGUGGUGAUAUUAGCAGUCAUGGGCAAUGAGAAGAAAGAGGAAGUCUGUGGAUGGAAAGUGUGAGCUCAACCUUUUAAAAUGUUUUUUGAAGGACUCAUAGGUCAUGCAGACAGAAAAACCAGCCGUCAUUCAGAAAUGCAAAAUUGAGACCCUGGCAAGAGGCCUGAGCCAGAUAUUUAGAUCUGAGUAUCCACACACAAACGGAGCUGUGGGAGCCACCAAUUUACCAAAGCAGGGGGGUCUCGUCAGAGGAGCAGUGAGAGGAGGAAAGAAGAGAACCAGGAGCAGGACACCCUACCUUAGGACGUGGAAGAGAGGAGCAGAAGGUGGGAAAGAAUGAGUGGGCAGGCGGCUCCGAAAGCCGAGCAUCCUUGAAGCCAAGUGAGGAGAGAAUUCCAGAGAAAGGGGCACACAGCACAGCCAUGAUGAGCUCUGCACCAAGACCAAAGAGAGUGGGGACUGAGAAAAAUCCCACCGGAGGGGCAACUGGGGUGUUUUUGGUGACCUUUAAAGCAGUGUGCACAUCAUAGUAAAAUUGCUGAAAAUGAGAGCAAAGGGAAACAUCUUAAGUGAGAGGAGAAGAGGCAGAUUGUGGUCACAGGAACCACAGUUAGACAGCUGAUGUCUCAAACAGUUAAAUAUAAAAGAUAACAGAAAAGUCUUAACAUGCUGAAAAUGAAUGACUGUCAACCUAAAAUUUUAUGCUCCCCGCCAAUUCUUCAAGAAUGAAGAUGAAUUAAAGAAAUUUACAAAACCCAAAUCAGCAUAUUUAUCACUCACAUUAAAGGGAAGACUGUUUUUCAAGACCAAGGAAAAUAGCUGCAGUUGGAAAGCAAAAGACACAGAAGGAAAUAAAUAUUUUUUUUAAAAGCAAGUAUAGAGCUGGGUGUUGUGGCACACACCUGUAAUCCCAGCUACUCAGGAGGCUGAGGCAGGAGGAUCCCAUGAGCCUGGGAAUUUGAGGUCAACCUGGGCAUCACUGCAAGAUCCUGCCUCAAAAGAAAGAGAAGGAAGAGGAGGAGGAGAAAGUAUUUAGGUAAAUAUAAAUGGACAGUGACCAAAUUUUUUUUUUUAAUUUUGUCAUGUUAAAAACAUACAUUGCUUAGGGCUGGGUUUUUGGCUCAGUGGUAGAGUGGCUUGCUUGGCAUGCAUCAGGCACUGG